rnacentral:rRNA from 1 species
GACGAACGCUGGCGGCGUGCUUAACACAUGCAAGUCGAACGGAAAGGCCCUGCUUUUGUGGGGUGCUCGAGUGGCGAACGGGUGAGUAACACGUGAGUAACCUGCCCUGGACUUUGGGAUAACUUCAGGAAACUGGGGCUAAUACCGGAUAGGAGCUCCUGUUGCAUGGUGGGGGUUGGAAAGUUUCGGCGGUUGGGGAUGGACUCGCGGCUUAUCAGCUUGUUGGUGGGGUAGUGGCUUACCAAGGCUUUGACGGGUAGCCGGCCUGAGAGGGUGACCGGCCACAUUGGGACUGAGAUACGGCCCAGACUCCUACGGGAGGCAGCAGUGGGGAAUAUUGCACAAUGGGCGGAAGCCUGAUGCAGCAACGCCGCGUGCGGGAUGACGGCCUUCGGGGUGUAAACCGCUUUCGCCUGUGACGAAGCGUGAGUGACGGUAAUUGGUAAAGAAGCACCGGCUAACUACGUG